rnacentral:sRNA from 1 species
GUAUUCUCCACUGGUUGAAUGCAAAUGGAAGCCAGAGGAAAAGGGAACCCUUGACACAGUUUUCAUAUAGAUUGGCCUCCAGAGCAGACAGCAGGAGGGGGGUUUAAUCUGGACUGAAUUGGAGGAAAGGAACUGGCACCAGAGUGGAGGCUGGAAGGAUGGUGGAACUGACACUGGGACAGAACACAGAAAACAGAAUCUAAUGCUAGUACCCUAAUGACAAGUUCACCCCAGUGUUUUCUGAGGAGUCUACCUGGAAAUGAGAACCAUCUGUCCUUCCUAUAGUAGUUCUUCUCAGAAUGCCGACUCUAUGCUAAUGGAGGAGGUCUGAUGGCCGGGAGGACAGGAAGAAGGAACCCACAAUAAAGCAAAAGUCGCGUUUAACUCUGUCCUCACCAUUCCUCUCCUGGGCCUGUCCUAAACUGGAAGCUGGGGGAGGAUGGAGUGCUGGAAUGCUGCAGAAGUCUCAUGGGAGGGCGCCUGGUGUUCACCACAUGUGUACCCUGUUGCACGACCAG